rnacentral:rRNA from 1 species
CUAGCGACUUCAGAGUUUGAUCCUGGCUCAGAUUGAACGCUGGCGGCAUGCUUUACACAUGCAAGUCGAGCGGCAGCGCGGGGGCAACCCUGGCGGCGAGCGGCGAACGGGUGAGUAAUGCAUCGGAACGUAUCCUGUAGUGGGGGAUAACCCAGCGAAAGUUGGGCUAAUACCGCAUGAGCUCUGAGGAGGAAAGCGGGGGACCUGAAAGGGCCUCGCGCUGCCGGAGCGGCCGAUGUCCGAUUAGCUAGUUGGUGGGGUAAAGGCUUACCAAGGCGACGAUCGGUAGCUGGUCUGAGAGGAUGAUCAGCCACACUGGGACUGAGACACGGCCCAG